UAUGUGUUUCAUAUCAUGUUGAAAACACUGGUUCUCAUCUGAUCACCGAAGCUGAGCAACAUUGAGCAUUGUUGGUACUUAGAUGGGUGACCAGUUGGGAAACAUAGGUGCUAUAAAC
rnacentral:rRNA from 1 species